GGGAGUCCGCUGUCCUCACAGCAAGAAACGGAAGGAGGUUCCCUCAGGGCUCUUUUGCCUCCCGGAAGUACAAGGCGCCUCCAUCUUCACAGCAUGAAGGAAGCCGAGGAGAUGCCAUGUGAGGGUGCAGCGAGGAGUUGGGCUGUCUAAAAGCAAAGAAAGAGAUUGCAUCAGACACCGCAUCUGCUGACACCUUGUUCUUGGACUUCCAGCUUCCAAAACCGCGAGAAAUAAAUGUCUGUGUCUAAACCCCAACCCUACCACCUCAACUGCCGUGUGUGGUGUUUUGUGAUGGCAGCCCCAGCUGACUGAGACACCUGGUUAGACCGGAAUAAGCAGUACCUGAGUCCCUUAAGAGUGGCCAAAGAAGAAAGAAUCCACUGAGUUGACAUUCCAGUUCAGCUGCAAUCGGUAGCAGUCACCAUUGAACAUCCUUGAAGCAAUUCUUCCAAAAUUACCUUGCAUCAAAGACUGCACAAGAACUGCUCUAAGCGGAAGGACUGAUGUCGGCAACCAGGGUUCCACCAGGGGCUGCAGACAGCCCUUGACCUUCAGAAGUAACCAAAUUUACUCACGUAGGCCAGGAAUUUCUAUGACGUGUUCCAAAUUCAGCCUCUCACUGAACACUUCCAGAGCAAGGCAACAUAAACAUCUGCAAGAAGAACAUUGUGUGAGAAAUAUCAAGUGAGAGUGGAAGAGUCUGCGGAGGGCCUCCCUGGGGCUCACCUGUGCUUUUGCCUGAGCUUCACCGUGUCAAGCACUUUUUCCCUCUGGAGGAAGCAGCUUUCACCUUGGAAGAAUCUUGACCUUGCCAUUCAAAGUCACCAGACAGGGAAUCUGCCAGUGCCUUGAUCUUAGACUUCCCAGCUUCUGUAACUGUGAGCAAUAAAUGUAUGCUGCUUAUAAACUA
rnacentral:lncRNA from 1 species